rnacentral:misc_RNA from 1 species
UAUAAAAGUGCGGCAUUGCAAAAGUAUGUUAAUAUUGGUAUUAGUAUUUUUUAAGUAAUUAAAUUUUUUCCUCAAAAUAAAAAUGAAUUUCAAAGGGUACAUUGGAUAUAUAUUUCUUCUCACAUUUACUUAUAUAGUCAUUUACUUUAUUUACAUUCGAAACGAAGAGGAUGGUAUACAGAAGCCAAAUGCAUAUGCGAAAAUACUAAACAAACAAGUGACUGUUGAUAAUGUUUCAAAAGUGUCGAGUAUACAACAGAAUAAAACAAAAUUAACCAAAUAUAUUUUGUAUUGGACAAAGAUGUUUGGUCGUGAAGACUUUUAUUACGGUUUAGGAUACGAACCGUUUCAAAAAUGUGAAUAUAAGAACUGUUUUACUACAUCAAAUAAAAAUUAUAUGGAUAUCAGAAAUUAUAACGCAAUUAUGUUUCACGGUCCGUUAUACGACUUUAAAAAGAAUGGUAAGCCAUCGGCACGAUCUGACCACCAACGAUAUGUUUUUGCGAAUUUAGAAUCACCAGGAAAUUUUAAUAAAAACCUUAACUAUGCAAAUGGAUUUUACAACUGGACAAUGACUUACAGGAUGGAUUCCGACAUUCCGAAUCCUUACGGUUUUUAUGUUAAAUCAAAGAUAAAUUACACUGCACCUUCCAGAGAUCAAUUGAAAUCAAAAAAAAGUUUAAUCGCUUGGUUUGUGUCACAUUGCAAAGCUUCUAGCAAACGAGCAGAAUUGGUGAAGAGCAUAAUGCAAUAUACACCAGUCGAUAUAUAUGGCCACUGCGGCACUUUAAACUGCAGUCGAAAGAAUGGGCACUGUUAUACACUUCUUGAAAACAAUUAUAAAUUUUACUUAUCCUUUGAAAAUUCAUACUGCAAAGAUUAUGUGACGGAAAAAUUUUUUAACAUACAUAAUAUUUCAGUUGUUCCAGUAGUUUAUGGAAGGGCGAACUACAAAGAAAUUGCACCACCUCAUUCGUUUAUAAACAUCGAAGAUUUUUCAUCCGUAAAAGAACUGGUAAGUUAUUUGAAACAUUUGGACAGGAACGAUGACGAAUAUUUAGAGUAUUUUAAGUGGAAAACAGACUACUAUGUUGUCUCGUCUUUUACAUACUUUAUAUGUGAUUUGUGUAAAAAACUGAACAUCGACUUUACACCUAAAACAUAUCCUAACAUACAAAAGUGGUGGAAGGGUGAAAAAGAUACUGUUAUGUGUUAUAAUAAUGAUGCUUUACCCCAAAUUGUUUUGGAAAAUUCGAAUAAAAGUAUAGUUGAUAAAAUUCAAAAAAAUACAACAGUGUUAAACUAAUAAAUGAAAAUUAAAAAAUAAAAAUUUUAAAUCUAGAAAACGGUUUUAAAUUCCACACGUUACUAAAUUUAUCUACGCAUCUUCAGUUGUAUGUGAAAAGUAUUUUUAAGAAACAGAAAGAAAUAUAAAUUGUAAUUUGUAGAUUUGUAUUUAUUUGCACCAUACUUAAUUCUACGUUUUAUUUGUAUCUCUGAUUAAUUUUGAAAUCAAUUUUUUAUGGAACACUAUGAGAGUUUUGGGAUUGAAAGUAAACUCGUCGAGCUGAUAAAAUCUGUUAACUGAGAGACAGAAAAGUUACAUGAAAGAACCGUAUAAUCAUGAUCUGUUGUACUCAUCGGUUUACCUACUUUAUAAGUCAUAAACCGUAGAAAUCUAUGCCUAAUACCUUCAGCGACACAAUCCUGAAUAACUGUGAUGAUCUCCAUACAACUGAGCAAUAAUUUCUUGGAAUAAAAUUUGCGUUUAUGAUGGCAAACCGCAAGGAUGUGUGGAAAAUAACACCAAGG